rnacentral:lncRNA from 1 species
UGUGCAGCUCUACAGCUAAUUUGAAACUCAUGUUCAUUUUAACAUAUUUCAUUUUAGACACCUACAAAGACGCCAUCAGGCUAAUGAAUCAAUAUCAGACCGGCUGCAACGCCUCUGAGCUACAGUCUGAGGCAGAGCAGGAGGGAUAGCUGCCAGAGAAAUGAUUCAGGAAGCCAAUCCAUCGUUUUGGGGACUCUGAUGAGAGUGAAGAAGAGCCAGAAAAUUCAGCUGGUGUUUCAGUUGGAGCCUCAAGCCCAAACCAAUUACACUGGCAGACUCCACCAUCUCACUGAGUGCCAUGCAGCAGAGUCACUACUCCUCAACCUGGAGGAAACUGUCUAGGUAAAGGGGCCCCGUCUAGAUUAAUUGUUUUUCACUGGCAAUCCAUUCAUGGGGUUGAAAUAGGUAGUUCAUACCAAAAUGUUGAAACAUACAAAUUCAUGUUCCCCAUGACCAGAGAUUUUUUGUUUGCCAUUGUUUGGCCCUGUAGCUCGCAGCAUACCAUUGGUUAACAGAUCACAACCAUUUAAUAGCAAUUUCUCUCCCUUAGCACCUGACCAUGGGGCCGGACCCCAACACCCUUCACCACCUCAACUCCCUGCACCUGUAUUUAACAUGAGGAGAGUUACUCAAGGAACGGUAGUCCCUCCUCACCUCCCUCCACCUCCCGCACCGGCCCUCAACAUGAGGCGAACAGAGGAGCCCUCUUCAAGCCUGGCCUACAGACCAACAUGGCGAGGGGGAGGAAUGACCGAGACCAUUCCCUGCUCUGUGGCUGAGGUCCACAUCCUUAGCCUGCUGGAGACCAUUAAACAACAACAAGACCAGCUUGUGGCAAAGGUGAACUACCUCAGCAGCAGGCUGAACAGCAACCCGGGGCCAGGUGUUGAGAUGCCGGACAAUAUCCAGUUUCCCCUGGAACAAGUGGAGGCAUUUGAAAUGUUUUUAAAGGAACCGUCAAAUGGCCCAGCUCGUCAGAGCGUGGUGCUGUGAGGAAAAACACAGUGACACGGUCAGCCACGGACGCAGAGGUCACCAAGCACGCAAUCAGGUGGUUCAACCUGGCAGCGGAUCGGGCAACGAGGAGACGUGUCCCGCCUCAAGCCACACAAACGGAGUAAUAGGAGAAAUAAGCAAUAA